GACGAACGCUGGCGGCAUGCCUAAUACAUGCAAGUCGAGCGGAGUGGAUGAGAAGCUUGCUUCUCUGACGCUUAGCGGCGGACGGGUGAGUAACACGUAGGCAACCUGCCUUUCAGUUUGGGAUAACUUCCGGAAACGGAUGCUAAUACCGAAUACAUCAUCUUCUGGCAUCAGAGAAUGAGGAAAGACGGCGCAAGCUGUCACUGAGAGAUGGGCCUGCGGCGCAUUAGCUAGUUGGUGGGGUAAUGGCCCACCAAGGCGACGAUGCGUAGCCGACCUGAGAGGGUGAACGGCCACACUGGGACUGAGACACGGCCCAGACUCCUACGGGAGGCAGCAGUAGGGAAUCUUCCACAAUGGGCGAAAGCCUGAUGGAGCAAUGCCGCGUGAGUGAUGAAGGUUUUCGGAUCGUAAAGCUCUGUUGCCAGGGAAGAACGUCCGGGUGAGUAACUGCACCCGGAGUGACGGUACCUGAGAAGAAAGCCCCGGCUAACUACGUGCCAGCAGCCGCGGUAA
rnacentral:rRNA from 1 species